CUAGACAGCCCACCUCCCUUUUAAUUCUCUGUCCCAGCUACAUCUGAUUGCUCAUUAUUUUACAGAUAAGAGGAUGAUGAGGGGGUCAAGGAUUUGCCCAAGAUCGGCUAGUAAGCAGGACCCGGGGCUCCAACCCAGGGCUGAUUAUUCUCAGAAGAUUUUACCCUAUUCUCAGCAUCUAGACCUGGAACAGAACGGGAGCGAGGAUGUCUGGUGCCUAGUCAUAUCCACACCCGAGGAGUGUCCACGUGUGCACAGCUGGCGGCUCGGGCUCGAGUGGAGGCCCUAAUAUGAAUGGAGACCUAGUCUGCUAGUUGAGACCUUGGCAGUGACCACUGUGGGCAAUGAGCCAUCGACCAACAAUUCUAUGUGAGCCUGUCUCUAAUAUUGAAGAUUUAUAUAUCUUAAUGGACAAGAACCACAAAGGUUCAAUGAUGUGCUCCUCAUAGUGCCUGGAUGAUCCUGAGCCUCUGUGGGGCAGGAAGAAAGGGAUUCAGUUCAUGCUUGACUUCAGCAAGUGGAUGCGCCCCCUCCAACUGAAUCAUCCUGGAACAUCAAAGGUCUCAGUUUUUACCUCUGUGGGUAAGGAAAGAAGAGAUUAAUGACCCCUGAUUUAAUUAUUUAAUAUGGAAUCAUUGUCCUGAGUAAGGAGCAUAGAUGAGAAUAAAGAAUGAGCACAGCUGGUAUGGCUUCAUGGCUACCUUCUGAGGAAGAUCAUGCCUGUGUACCUCUGGAAACCAUUGCUCAUCCCUCAGAAGCAAUGGCUUUGGUCUGCUUUAAACACGGGACCCCGCUCACAAACUCUACACUUUUUCUCGGUAUUUACAUGAAGACCCCCAAAACCUGUGUGAGUAAUAUUUAAAUGCAUUGCUUUUCUCAAUGGGAUGCUCUGUGUUAUUAUAGAGUAUCAGAUAAUGAUAUCUGAGCAAAAGAUUCGGUUGUUCUGAAGAACACACAGCCAUAGACACGCAUUGCUAGAGAGGAUGAAGGCUCACAUGGACCGAUGAUGACAAGGGUCAGCACUAUAAGUCACUGACGAUGACUACAAUAUUUCUGUCUGAGGUUCACAUCACAACACAUCUCAGGUGCUCCCCUCCGUUAGCCAGGAAACAGAAGUUCUGCCUGUGCGGCACGCACUGGGCAUUAGAGUCAGACCCUGUCAUGCAUGUUCUUUUCUCAGUGGAUCGAUGAAAGGCGAUACAAAUACACACACAAAUGCAAAUGUAAAGGAAUAUUUUGAGACAUUGAUCAAUUAGAAAAUAAAUAUUUGACCACAAAUUCAGCUACUACAUGUGGAAAAUAUGGAAGUCUGUUAAGAUUAACUGGCAUAAAGAUUAUAUAAAAUUUAUCCAAGUUCACAUGUGAAGUGGAAUUAAUGAAUUAAGCCCCAGUAUGGGUUAACACCUUAAUUUUAAUUUUGAGUCUUACUUGAUUUCUCAAGACACCAUCCAAACAACCUGAAUCCUAAAUAACAAAUAGUGAAAGGAGAAAUGUAGACAUAAUUUGAAAAAUAUCACAUCUUUUUAUAUUUUUUCCUGCUUUGUACUCUCUGGAUGGAUGAUUGUUUCCUGGCUGGGAGGUCCAUGGCUUUCCUAACCUAAGAUCAAGGGAACUGAUAAUGGAUUCCGCCCCCAAGCGGAUUUUUCACUCUCCCUUUGCCCGUGAGCCUCAUAAUGAGCUGUUUUAGGCUGUCAUGCAGACACAGUAAUAGAUACCCUGCAAGCUGAUUUUAUACAGUCUCACCUGAAACUGAACCUUGUGCUCCAGCUUCUGUGCUCGCAGGAUAGACACCGUAAUGGCUGUCCUAAGCUGAUGUAUAAAUUCUUCCUUGGUUGUGAGAUUCCUGCUCUAAUCCUUGUAGUCCUAAGAUAGACACAGUUGCAUGUAGUCAGUGUUCAUGCCUUGAACUUGGUACUUUUAAAGACUACGCACACUAUUGUUGAAAUACUACUCGCCCUCUGGAAGACCGACUGUGUCCAAAUGAGUGGAGCUACCAGGCUGAUCUUUGGUCAUGCGCAAUAUAGACACAGUGUGAGUACAGUCCAUGUUCUUCUCUUAGUUUUGUGUGCUUUGCACAACAGUUCACUGUAUUGAUAAAGGAUUGUUAUCC